AACGAACGCUGGCGGCAGGCUUAACACAUGCAAGUCGAACGCCCCGCCAGGGGAGUGGCAGACGGGUGAGUAACGCGUGGGAACAUACCCUUUUCUACGGAAUAGCCCUGGGAAACUGGAAUUAAUACCGUAUACGCCCUACGGGGGAAAGAUUUAUCGGGGAAGGAUUGGCCCGCGUUGGAUUAGCUAGUUGGUGGGGUAAAGGCCUACCAAGGCGACGAUCCAUAGCUGUUCUGAGAGGAUGAUCAGCCACAUUGGGACUGAGACACGGCCCAAACUCCUACGGGAGGCAGCAGUGGGGAAUAUUGGACAAUGGGCGCAAGCCUGAUCCAGCCAUGCCGCGUGAGUGAUGAAGGCCUUAGGGUUGUAAAGCUCUUUCACCGAUGAAGAUAAUGACGGUAGUCGGAGAAGAAGCCCCGGCUAACUUCGUG
rnacentral:rRNA from 1 species